AGGAAGGCUCGUCCGCUCUGGGUUAGUCGGGUCCUAAGCUGAGGCCGACAGGCGUAGGCGAUGGAUAACAGGUUGAUAUUCCUGUACCACCUAUAAUCGUUUUAAUCGAUGGGGGGACGCAGUAGGAUAGGCGAAGCGUGCGAUUGGAUUGCACGUCUAAGCAGUAAGGCUGAGUAUUAGGCAAAUCCGGUACUCGUUAAGGCUGAGCUGUGAUGGGGAGAAGACAUUGUGUCUUCGAGUCGUUGAUUUCACACUGCCGAGAAAAGCCUCUAGAUAGAAAAUAGGUGCCCGUACCGCAAACCGACACAGGUAGUCAAGAUGAGAAUUCUAAGGUGAGCGAGCGAACUCUCGUUAAGGAACUCGGCAAAAUGACCCCGUAACUUCGGGAGAAGGGGUGCUCUUUAGGGUUAACGCCCAGAAGAGCCGCAGUGAAUAGGCCCAAGCGACUGUUUAUCAAAAACACAGGUCUCUGCUAAACCGUAAGGUGAUGUAUAGGGGCUGACGCCUGCCCGGUGCUGGAAGGUUAAGAGGAGUGGUUAGCUUCUGCGAAGCUACGAAUCGAAGCCCCAGUAAACGGCGGCCGUAACUAUAACGGUCCUAAGGUAGCGAAAUUCCUUGUCGGGUAAGUUCCGACCCGCACGAAAGGCGUAACGAUUUGGGCACUGUCUCAACGAGAGACUCGGUGAAAUCAUAGUACCUGUGAAGAUGCAGGUUACCCGCGACAGGACGGAAAGACCCCGUGGAGCUUUACUGUAGCCUGAUAUUGAAAUUCGGCACAGCUUGUACAGGAUAGGUAGGAGCCUUUGAAACGUGAGCGCUAGCUUACGUGGAGGCGCUGGUGGGAUACUACCCUAGCUGUGUUGGCUUUCUAACCCGCACCACUUAUCGUGGUGGGAGACAGUGUCAGGCGGGCAGUUUGACUGGGGCGGUCGCCUCCUAAAAGGUAACGGAGGCGCUCAAAGGUUCCCUCAGAAUGGUUGGAAAUCAUUCAUAGAGUGUAAAGGCAUAAGGGAGCUUGACUGCGAGACCUACAAGUCGAG
rnacentral:rRNA from 1 species